rnacentral:rRNA from 1 species
ACGGCCAUAUCACGUUGAAACAUCGGUUCUUGUACGAUCACUGAAGUUAAGCAACGUCGAGCCUACUCAGUACUUGGAUGGGUGACCGCUUGCGAAUAAGAGGUGCUGCAGA